CCUUAACCUGCUAAAUAGGGGCGGUAGCGCAAGCUGCCGACUCCUUCUUAGAGGGACUAGCUAGGUGUUACUAGCUGGAAGUUUGAGGCAAUAACAGGUCUGUGAUGCCCUUAGAUGUUCUGGGCCGCACGCGCGCUACACUGGCAGAGGCAGCGAGUUGUACCUUGGCCGAAAGGCCUGGGAAAUCUUGUGAAACUCUGCCGUGAUGGGGAUAGAUCAUUGUAAUUAUUGGUCUUUAACGAGGAAUUCCUAGUAAGCGCAAGUCAUCAGCUUGCGUUGAUUAUGUCCCUGCCCUUUGUACACACCGCCCGUCACUACUACCGAUUGAAUGACUUAAUGAGGGUCGGGGAGCGAGCGAGCAAUUGCCUGCGAACCGACACGAAUUUGGCCAUUUAGAGGAAGUACAAGUCG
rnacentral:rRNA from 1 species